CGCGGGAAGCUGGCGGCUGGCGGGUCGCAGACAAACGGGGGCUAGCACCGACACCGCACCCAAAUCCCCAUGCCUCUCGCUCACCUCUCGCCGCCGCCGGUCCCCAAAUCCCAGGUAGAUCCGCACCUCGUCCUCUACUUCUCGCCGCCGCCGGCCCUUUCAUCCCAGGCACAUCCGCACCUCUGCCUCUACCUCUCGCCCCGCCGCGGUGCAUGAGCAGGCUCAUCCCCGCCGCCACCUCCCUAACACAUCAAUCUGGCGGGAGGAAAAAAGCUUUUCAACGACGAUGGCGAGCGACGGCAUGACGCAGAAGGAGAUCGGCGUGAGCCACGGCGUGCUCCACUUCGUUUGUCAACGACAGCGUCAGGGGCGACCUCGCGCCGCCGCACCUCUCCAGGCCACCAUCCAGUCGGUACCUCUCUUCUAGGUUUGCAGGAAACUGAGGAUGAGGAGGUCUAUAAAAGUCCCUGCAAUCAGCGAUAAGGUCGCUGACAUCCCAGGUGAUGAGUUCUCGUGGAGGAAGUAUGGACAGAAGCGAAUAAAGGGAUUCCCGCAUCCUAGGGAGGUUACAGCUGGUGACCUCUUCCCAGCACACUUUGCCCUCUUGUUCUUUUUUCGAAAAGGCCAGGAUAAAAGAUCUCAUCGAGGCAGCAGAACAGGAUUAUGAAAAAGGAAAAACUCAAUGAGAGGAUAUCAAAGCUUGCUGGUGGUGUUGCUGUCAUUCAGGUGGGAGCAUAAACAGAAACCGGACUUAAAGUGAAGAAGUUGAGAGUUGAGGAUGCUCUAAAUGCAAUUAAGGCAAAUCAGCGGCCGUCGAGGAAGGUAAUGUUGUUCGUGGAGGGUGUGCUCUUUUGAGACUGGCGGCCAGAGUUGAUGCAUCAAGGAAACUCUGGAGAACGAGGAGCAGAAGCACUGGUGAUGGUCUGGGGGCACCUGUUAUCAGUGUUCAAGUUGACUUUCUGAAGUCAAAUGAAAACUCAGUAGCUUCAACACAGGUUGUUGUCCAGGAAUUCAGAGCCAUCUACGAACCGGAAUUCUUCUUUAAUCUCCUGAACAUCUAUGAUUUGUUUUCCUCUUUCCAAUUUCAACAUGACACGGUAAGAAUUCUUGUUGUGUAGCUGUGCUCUACUGUUUGGGAAAAGAUGUACUCCCUCCAUUUCUUAAAGCAUGGCGUAUUUGCCUUCUGCACACAUACCAAGGAAGCCUCUGCACACGUAUUUUGGACUAAUUUGCCCCUCGGUACCAGCUUGGGCAGCCAUGCUAUGCAAUUAAUCACCGUAUGCAGCAGCUGCAAGUACUACUCGUCCUGGUCCACACGCAUGCACUUGGCCCUCCAUGCCUCCACAUGCAGCACGUCCCUUGGUCCCUGGGUCCUCCUUGAUUCCUGAUUGGCAACGGAAAGGAGAUUUCUUCUCGUGCGCAUGCAUGACGGAAGACGAGGAGAUGGGGAAGGCAGCUAUUAACGCGGCUGAACAGGGGCAAUAUCGGGAGAUGUAUCCAUGCGAUCAAAAGAUACAGUUCAGGAUGAUUCUCAGACACAAGAAGCCAAUUCUUCUCUUGAUUACAUGUCAAAGAAAACUUCAAGUUAUUGUUCUGUCGACCUGCUACCUGGCUUAUAAUUGAAUGACCUAUACAAGUAUUUUGAGGUUAGCCACGCAGGAUUUGAGGUGAAGGUGUUCAUGUCUGCUAAAUAUGAUAUUAAUUUCUUCCACAUUGGUCAAAGUGGAUGCCUCCAUUAUUUUUGGAUUGUGCAUAUUCCUAGAUGAAACAAUGCUGAAACAGUUGGAGAGAUUGCUUCUGUUUGCCAGCUCUUGACAUAUACUUCUCUCAGACAAUAUACAUAGCUAUUGUUAAUUUGUGUACCUAUCCGAAAGAAAGUAACAUAGUUGGAAACAACACUUUUGAUGAUUCCAUGACACUACCGGACACAAGAAACCAGCCUUAGACAUGUCUGCAUCUCUCAAGCUGGACAAAUUGAAUUUAAGGGUUGACCUUGAAGACAAUGGAAAUGAAUGUAAGGUCAUCACCGUGGGUGUUGAUCGAUAUCAGGUUGCAUGUGCUAUGUUCUUCAGGAAGCUAUAAAACUAGCACAACAUGUCCUAAAAGUUCUGCUGCCGAGGCUUGCUUAAAGCAGCAUUACAAAACUCAUAAAUGUUUGUGCAGGAGUUUCUUCAUGUUAUACGCAGGUACACAUGUUACAUCAUGCCUGCGAGUUUUCAAAUGCAAGCAAAAUGUCUGUAUACGAGUUUCAUCGUGGUGCUUCUUUUUUGUGACUUGCUGUAACUCCCACUCAGUAUUCUGUUAUCUCUGCCUAUGUAUACAAGCAUCCCAAGUCAAUCCUUACCCAUCCCAUGUGCAAAUACUUAUUCGUUAUGUAUGUACCCUUGGUUCGUGAUCGAUCCCUAAACUAUGUACGCUGCAACUCUCAUUACUUCAACUUGCGAGUGGUUAGAUCUGCUCCCUCUAAAA